rnacentral:sRNA from 1 species
UUGAAGUUUGAAUAAUACUUUACGAUCUCUUUAUCAAAGUGGUGUAAAAGUAUUUAUGAUUCAAUUACUUUGCACGAUAUUUUGUAUAAGGAGGUCAUUUUAAUGACUGGUAAAGUAAAAUGGUUUAACGCAGAAAAAGGCUUCGGUUUCAUCGAGCGCGAAGACGGAGACGAUGUAUUCGUACAUUUCUCAGCUAUUCAAUCAGAAGGUUUCAAAACUCUUGAAGAAGGUCAAGACGUUGAAUUUGAAAUCGUUGAAGGUAACCGCGGACCGCAAGCAGCUAACGUUGUUCGCCUAUAAUAGUUAAUUACAAAAAGGUUUAUCUCAUCCGUGAGAUAAACCUUUU